rnacentral:misc_RNA from 1 species
UCCCCUCUCUCGUUAAUGUGAAUUGCAGAAUUUCGUGAAUCAUCGAGUCUUUGAACGCACAUUGCGCCCAUUGGUAUUCCAUUGGGCAUGUCUGUUUGAGCGUCAGUACAACCUCUCAGCGCAAGCUGGUAUUGGACUUGUUAGGUGUUUUUUUUUAACCUAACCGGUUUUAAAGUUGUAAGCUCUGCUGACCGCUAAGCUCAACCCAAAACAUAGUAAACAACAUUCUUGCUUGUUUAAAGGUGAAGCUUGCAUGCCGGCCUGAAUAAAACCUUAUUUCUACGGUUUGACCUCAGAUCAGACAAGGAUACCCGCUGAACUUAAGC